CACAAAAACGUUUAAUGGAUUUAAUGAGUAUGCAUUUAAAAUCACAAAAACGUUUAAUCGUUUGAAUUAAUUUACAUCUAAAUUACAAAGGUGUUUAAUUGUUUAAAUUAAUAUGCAUUUGAUAAUUUAAUAACUAGGUCUCUUUUGUUGUAAAUUAUUAAGAUGAAUUUAUUUUUGGAGUUAAGUAAACUCAAAGUAAUUUAAUAAUUAUGUUUAACCUACAUUUUGAGACAUAAUGAUAUUAAUAACAUCCAAAAAGCAAACAUUUUAAGUUGUGAUUAAAGAAAUUUUUAUUUUUCAAUAUUGGGAAUGAGAAGGUAGUUUAAUAAUUAGAACAAAACAACAUGCUAUACAUCAAUAGUAAGACUUUAUUAAUCGUAAUUGCCUCCGAGUUUAUUGAUUGUUUUUUGGACAACAGGGGCAGAUGCUGAUAUAACGAUUACCCAACAUUUUAUAUUACAACAAAAAUAUGAAAUCCAAAAAGCGCCCUGUACCUUCUCUCAGUUUUAUAUUACCAAAGAGGCUUUAUGGUAGCUGAUGGACUCCUAUUGUAUGUAAAGCAGAUGUGCUGGACUGGCGCCCCCUCGAGUUAUUGUUCCUGGUGCCAUGGGCUCCCGCUGCCCGCGACUCUGCCCUGGACAAGUAGGUUAGGACAAUAGAUGGAUAGAUAGAUAGAUAAAUAGACAGACAGACACACAACCAGCCACCACUGUGCAAGUGGCCAAAUCCUGAUCAGGGAUGCCUAAAAUGUGUAAAUCAAUUGAAAGCUUGAAGCUGAGUCUUUAGCCACUUACCAUACCUUCACUUGUAACAUGUGUGGAGAAAGUUAAAGCUACGCCUGCAAGUGUUUCUGCCGUGGAUUGAUUGUUAUUUAAGGAUGGGUAUUAGUUUACAUUAUCAUGCAGGGGACACAAAGGAAUUCUCAUCCUAACCCGGAUCGCAUCCCUUGGAUGUUUUAGUUCUAGUAGUGUGACUUACACGCAUGGUGGCAGGAUAGCAACAUAGUUAGGUCUGCUGCCUUUGAGUCGCCAUCCCGUCAGAGUCUCAGGUCCUCCUGGCCGACAUGGAUUUUCUUAUCAUGUGCUGGUGAUGUUUAUUGGCUACUCUAAACUGCUCUGAUGUGUAGAGUUUGUCCAGCACUGGAUGGGACGCUCUGCUGGGAUAGUCUCUGGCACCUCAUGACCUUAAACUUUGAUUAAAUGGGUCUAGUUAAAGAUAUGGAUGGAUAAUAAACACAAUUAUGUUAUAAGGUGAAGAUCGCUACUUAUCGAUCCCUCCCAUUUUGAAUGUUGGAAUAAAACAAUUUAUCUUAAACCAUUUCUUCGUGGGAGGCAUAUUACAAUGACACAAGGUUCCUUUUUUCUUGGAAUAUACAAUUUAGAUCAUUGUUAUGAUGUAAAAUAUGCCACAUUUUAUAUCAUUCUCAUUUAACAUCAAUUUGAUCAUUUAUACCAUUUUCAUUCCAGGAAAAACAAACGUCAUGAAUUCUGUGUGAAAGACUGAAAUAUAUUAAGGUGAAUUUCGUCAUGGCCUCCUCCCUGUGUAGAUGUCUUGACCGCUAUUCAGAAGUGUCUUAUCUCUUGUUCGGCUAUCGCACAAUUAGGCCAGGAAAAGGGUCGCUGGUUUGACCCCCUGUGGAGACCCUGUUUACAAAGUGAAAGGAGCAGAUUUGCGUUCUUGAGAAAUGUGUGACACAGACUAUGAAAAUGCAAGAUUCAAGUUGGCGCUUUCAAGAUGGCGCUCCUCAUCUACCACGUUUUUGACUGUGAUCAUGAAAAUACAGCCCGACGCUUACAAACGGCUUGCCAGUCUCUUCUUGUAGAAAUGUUCAAUGUUUGUAGUGUGGCUUUCAAGAAUUUGGAGAUGCUGUACAUUGGAUGAGUGAUGGACUGUUUACUUACUGUCUUCCUCAUCAAAGAACUUAAUGCUUUAAAAAAAAGAAAAUCGUACAACGACGUCUUGGAAUCGUUCGGAUCCCCCUCGCUAUACUCAGCCACGUGGCUUCACUAAAUCUUGGUGGAAGUUCUACCUUGGUGUCACAUGUCUCUGAGGACGUCUGAACAGCAUUCGGAAGGAAUACUUGAAUCUUGUUUGGAUCAAACCACUCUUAUUUUUUCAACGAACGUUAUUAAAUUGUAUUUAUUUAUAAGGUUGUUUUACGGCACUGGUUGAUGGUGUGCAGCCAGACAGCUUUCAGUUGAAUUGUUUUUGUGUGUACUUGCAGAGGUACUGAACUAAUGUAAUAAUUUAGAAUAUAUUAAUAAAGAAACAUGAAUUGAUACUAA